rnacentral:miRNA from 1 species
UAAAUCCGAACGAACUUUUUGG